rnacentral:rRNA from 1 species
AUGUAUAUUAUUGAGCAGUUCCACGAUUACAGAAUGGUUGAAAACCGUUCUGUUUUGGAACAGGCUCAUGAAAUACAAUGCAUCGCCAAAGAGCUUGAGCUCCUGAAGUGUGAAUUACCGGGCAAAUUUGUCGCGGGAUGCAUAAUCGCUAAGCUGCCAAAUUCCUGGAGAAACUUUGCCACCACUCUGAAACAUCAGAGGCGUGAAUUCUCAGUGGAGGAUGUCAUCGGUCAUCUGAGUGUUGAGCAGAAUUCGAGAGCAAAGGACUCGCAUGGAAAAGGAGAAGGGACUUCAGUUGCCAAUGUGGUACAGAAGAACUUCAACUUCCACAAGUCCAAAGGGAAGAUGGGUGUCCAACAGAAUACCAACUUCAAGAAGAAGGGCAACAAGACCUUCAAGAAGGAUAAGAAGAAGAGUGGCUGUUUCACUUGUGGUUCGGAUGAACAUUGGGCUAACAAGUGCCCAAACAAGUUUAAGAAGCCAGGGCAGGACUCCAAGACUGCCAACAUGAUUGUGAGCAACAAUGAAAGUAGGGCAUCUGGGCCACAAGGAAAGGCUCCGUACUGA